CCCCGUUCAAAGGAACUUAAAUAUUUUGUCUUGCUCAUUCACCCUCUGAAAUGCACAAAUACCAUCCAUGUCUCAAUUGUCUCAAAAUCCUCCUUUAACCUGUCUCCUCCCCUUCAUCGAGACGUGGAUAUCACAAUAAGGUUAUUACACAACAGACUAGAUAUCACAAUAAGGUUAUUACACAACAGACUAGAUAUCACAAUAAGGUUAUUACACAACAGACCUAGAUAUCACAAUAAGGUUAUUACACAACAGAGACCUAGAUAUCACAAUAAGGUUAUUACACAACAGAGACCUAGAUAUCACAAUAAGGUUAUUACACAACAGACCUAGAUAUCACAAUAAGGUUAUUACACAACAGACUAGAUAUCACAAUAAGGUUAUUACACAACAGACCUAGAUAUCACAAUAAGGUUAUUACACAACAGACCUAGAUAUCACAAUAAGGUUAUUACACAACAGACCAGAUAUCACAAUAAGGUUAUUACACAACAGACCUAGAUAUCACAAUAAGGUUAUUACACAACAGAGACCUAGAUAUCACAAUAAGGUUAUUACACAACAGACCUAGAUAUCACAAUAAGGUUAUUACACAACAGACCUAGAUAUCACAAUAAGGUUAUUACACAACAGACCUAGAUAUCACAAUAAGGUUAUUACACAACAGAGACCUAGAUAUCACAAUAAGGUUAUUACACAACAGACUAGAUAUCACAAUAAGGUUAUUACACAACAGACUAGAUAUCACAAUAAGGUUAUUACACAACAUACUAGAUAUCACAAUAAGGUUAUUACACAACAUACUAGAUAUCACAAUAAGGUUAUUACACAACAGACUAGAUAUCACAAUAAGGUUAUUACACAACAGAGACCUAGAUAUCACAAUAAGGUUAUUACACAACAGAGACCUAGAUAUCACAAUAAGGUUAUUACACAACAGAGACCUAGAUAUCACAAUAAGGUUAUUACACAACAGACCUAGAUAUCACAAUAAGGUUAUUACACAACAGAGACGUGGAUAUCACAAUAAGGUUAUUACACAACAGACCUAGAUAUCACAAUAAGGUUAUUACACAACAGAGACGUGGAUAUCACAAUAAGGUUAUUACACAACAGAGACGUGGAUAUCACAAUAAGGUUAUUACACAACAGAGACGUGGAUAUCACAAUAAGGUUAUUACACAACAGACCUAGAUAUCACAAUAAGGUUAUUACACAACAGACCUAGAUAUCACAAUAAGGUUAUUACACAACAGACCGAGAUAUCACAAUAAGGUUAUUACACAACAGAGACGUGGAUAUCACAAUAAGGUUAUUACACAACAGAGACCUAGAUAUCACAAUAAGGUUAUUACACAACAGAGACGUGGAUAUCAUAAUAAGGUUAUUACACAACAGACCUAGAUAUCACAAUAAGGUUAUUACACAACACACCUAGAUAUCACAAUAAGGUUAUUACACAACAGACUAGAUAUCACAAUAAGGUUAUUACACAACAGACCUAGAUAUCACAAUAAGGUUAUUACACAACAGACUAGAUAUCACAAUAAGGUUAUUACACAACAGACCUAGAUAUCACAAUAAGGUUAUUACACAACAGAGACCUAGAUAUCACAAUAAGGUUAUUACACAACAGAGACCUAGAUAUCACAAUAAGGUUAUUACACAACAGACCUAGAUAUCACAAUAAGGUUAUUACACAACAGACUAGAUAUCACAAUAAGGUUAUUACACAACAGACCUAGAUAUCACAAUAAGGUUAUUACACAACAGACCUAGAUAUCACAAUAAGGUUAUUACACAACAGAGACCUAGAUAUCACAAUAAGGUUAUUACACAACAGAGACCUAGAUAUCACAAUA